GAUUAAUAUAAGUUGCAAACCUUGUUUCCCAAUCCACUAUAAAUAAAUAUGUUUAAACUAGUAUUCUAGGAGAGGGCGACGGAGGGCGUCAAAUCUUUUUCAGGAUAUUUUGACUCUUAACGUUGACAAGUUUUUCUCAAUUGUUAGCAAAACCGUUUCGUUAUAAAAUGCUGUAAAAGAGGGACGAAAGAUACCAGAGGAACAGUCAAACUCAUAAAUCGACAAUAAACUGACAACGCCAUGGCUAAAAAUGAAAAGGACACACAGACAAACAAUAGAACACAUAACACAACAUAGAAACUAGAGAAUAAACAACACGUAUAACGAUUUUCAACGGAGUACUAGUUGACCAACAGGACUGCAGUUUGAUACUUUGUGAUCCACCGCCAAAACUGUUAUUGACGUUACAUAUAAAAUAAGAAGAUGUGGUAUAAUUGUCUCCAGACAACUCUCCAUCAAAGGCCAAAUGACAUAAAAUUAAACAGCGGGUCACCGUACACCCUUUAACAAUACCUCAUAGUCAACUUUAAAAGACCCAGAAAUGACAAAUGUGAAACGUGCAAUUCAAACGAGAAAACCCCUGUGCCUCAAACAAUGUAAAAUAUAUAUGACUAAAAUACAAAUAUGAUAUAUACAGCAACAAACAACAACCAUCGAAUUACAGGAACAUACAUAAUGACUUCGGACAGACACAUACGCAAAAUGAGGCCAAAUAAAAAAGUAUGUGUGGUUCCAGUUACAUCUGAAAAAAAAGUUAGGGUAGGUAGGUAGGGAAUUUUUUUUAUUGUAUGUUUUUCUUUUACCUUGAGUCUAUGGGAGCAACAUUCUGAUUUUAACAGUGCUUAAUGAAAAAUGACAAUAAAAUCUUUAGGGUAGGCUAUUUUUAAGCCGAAAAAGUAGGGACGGUAGGGUUACUGGAAUCACACAUAUAUUUUUAUUUGGCCUGCG
rnacentral:lncRNA from 1 species